UAGUCGCGUUUGAUUUUAUGCUAGGUCUCUGGGCUCUCCAGCCCCUGGUUCCUGGCUGUCUAGGCAGUGUGGGGCAUAGGCGCCCUCUCCUGGUGUGGGCCUCAAGUGGGACCGGUCAUUAUUUGGCCACUCCCACAAGUUGUGCGCAGCCGUGGUCCCAGCACAUCUUGCAGGCAGGGUAGAUCGUGGCUUGAUUGAUGGUUUUGUGGCUGGGUUGUUGUCCCAGAUUCAGUAGAUUUUUCAGGGCCAAGUGUUUUGCUGUUUUCUGAAGACGCUGAUGGAUAAGACACCCACACGCAUUUCUGCCUGCCGAGUCUUCCCGCUGACUCGUGUUUGUUUUUUGAAACGGGGUCUCGAAUGCAGGCCAGGAUGACCUUGUGCUCUUGGUCCUCCAAAAUGCUGACAUUUUGGGCAUGGACUGUCAUAAGUAGUUUAGCGGAUGCUUGGGAUCAACCCAGGGCUUCAUGCAUGCUAGGCGAGCACUCUGCCAGCUGAACCACCCGCCCCCCAACCCCUCCACUCCCCCUCACCCCGGCCCAUCAGAACUGUGAAAUGAAGCCUCUGGGCACUGAGUGUGAAGGGAAUUUGGAGCAGGACACAGGGGAGGCAGAGAGACGGAGAUGGUCUCCGUGGUCGGGACAGGGGCCGUGGUGGUAGUGAACACAAGGAAGAUCCCACCAGGUCUGCUGGAGCAGCGGUUCUCCACCUUCCCAAUGCUGUGGCCCUUUAAUACGGUUCCUCACGUUGUGGUGACCCCCCCCCCCAGCCAACCAUAAAAUCGUUUUUGUUGCUACUUCGUAACUGCCGUUUUGCUACCGUUAUGAAUUGUAAUGUAAAUCUCUGUGUUUUCUGAUGAUCUCAGGAGAGCCCCAUGAAAGGGUCUGGGGUUGCAAUCCACAGGCUGAGAACCGCUGGGCUAUACUCUUACCAGGAAGAGGGCUGAGGGAAACGGGGAGACCCAGGAGUUGACGGGGAGCCCAGGCUCUCACAGAGGUGACUUGGUCUUCCAGAGGAUUUUGAACAGCAUCUGGAGACGUCUUAUUAUUGUAUUUUCCUGCCACCCCUGAAGGAUGGAAUUUAGUGAGAAGCCAGGGACAGCUCUCGACCUUCCUGUCCCACCCAGGUCCAAAGUGUUACUGCCACUACUGUAACCCGGACGUGGAUGUGAGGUACGGCACAGCCCGGA